AUACGUAGGGGGCGAGCGUUAUCCGGAAUUAUUGGGCGUAAAGAGUGCGUAGGUGGUUUUGUAAGCGCGGGGUGAAAGGCAAUGGCUUGACCAUUGUAAGCCCUGCGAACUGUGAGACUUGAGUGCAGGAGAGGAAAGCGGAAUUCCUAGUGUAGCGGUGAAAUGCGUAGAUAUUAGGAGGAACACCAGUGGCGAAGGCGGCUUUCUGGACUGUAACUGACACUGAGGCACGAAAGUGUGGGGAGCAAACAGGAUUAGAUACCCUGGUAGUCCACACCGUAAACGAUGAGCACUAGGUGUCGGGGUCGUAAGACUUCGGUGCCGGAGUCAACGCAUUAAGUGCUCCGCCUGGGGAGUACGUACGCAAGUAUGAAACUCAAAUGAAUUGGCGGGG
rnacentral:rRNA from 1 species